AGGGAAAACAGCAAGCACAAAGCUUAGAAGUUAACUCCUUUCCCUUCUACACAUGAAUAACUCCCUUGAAAGUAUUCUAGUGUGUUAUUAGGAGGAUGAAAACACUGGGAAGGAAAGAAGUCAGAAGAUCUUCUCCAUAAAAAGGAAAAGCUCCCAAACCAACGCUAACAGAAGGAACUGGGGAAGACAGAGAAUGUCUCACAGACAAUAACCACCCUGAACACAUUCCUCCAUGGCAGCUGGAGCGGGACAUGCUAGCGUACUGGAUCUACCCGCACAGACCAGCAAUUCUGACAGAAGACCUCUCAAUCACCAAAAAUUGUGCAGAAGGACAAGAAAGCUGAUGUAUUUAACUGAUUCUCUAGAAUGUGUGACAGGGGACCCCAAGCUUAAAUGUUUUUUCUUCUUUCUCUUAAGAAGCACUUCCUUCAAUUGGCUUCUUUUUGAUAUGGGGUUUCUGCUGAAGUACUAAAAUAUUUCUCUGACAUACUAAAAAUGGGGCAUUGGAAAUUUAAACCUCUUCCUGCCUCAGAAGUCAGCUUUUCACCCUUAAUUACUGACUAGAGAUCCAGCAGACAGCUAUCAAUCCUCAGCUAUAAAGCUGUCUUCCAGAUAUUAAAGUUUGUGACAAGCAUUCAAGGAAAAAAAAUGGGGAAAGAAAAUCUCAACCUCCUUUGGGAAUAAUAUCUUCCAUGAACACGUCUGCCAGUAUUACACAAAAGUAGUUCGCACUAGCAGUGUUUUUUAACAAUCAAUCUUUUAGUCCCAAUGUCUGACGAUAACAUAACGAACUGGUUCACCCUGUGGAAACAGGGUAGAGGAAAGGAAAAGUAUUUCAUAGUAGAGAAACAAUAACAACCAGAAGAACAACUGCAGCUGAGAUGACCGUCAGUGUUAAGAACUAAUUAGUAAAUAUCUUAUCAGAGUAUUGAAAAUGAUGCCUUCUUUGGCCCUAGGUGAACACACAGCCAUGUUGCCGUGCUGAAAGCUAAGCAGCUGUUCCUGAGUACAAGCACUGAAAAGGGCAUUCCACGAUAAGGCUGUUGCUAGAACAGAGGGUACGAAGUUGCCUGGAGCAGACAUAUCUCUGAUCUCAGCCAGAGGAGGUGAUGCACAGGUGACUGCAGUUGUGAUGUCACACCUGUAUCAGGUGCCACAGAAGCACAAACUGUCCCAGAUGAUAGGGGGUAAAUCUCACCUAAUAAAUCCAAGCUGUUUCAAAAAGCUCCCUUAAAGUAAGCACUAAUGCUCACUGGCUCUACAAGACAGAACUCAGCCCCAGUUUUGCAGCGCUCAUUUUUUCAACUCAGAUAUGUAAAUAUGACCAUUUCUUCCCCUUCAUUAAAUGGAGUUGGUAAACUAAUACUUAGAACAUUCUUCUAAAAGGAUUACUGCUUGCAGCAAAUUUUGAAGAUGAGAGAGACAAAUGAUCAUGAUGCUUUUUUUGUGAACCAGCUCUAUCAGCAGCAAGAGUAAGCUGAAGUUAUGGAGACAAUACUGAAAAGCAAAUUCCUUUGCUCAUUAGGACAGUCUUGUGACUUGAUUGUUAAACUGCUCCGAAACUAGAGGUAUAUUUAAUUUUCAAUACAGUAAAAUGAGUAAUACUUUACAUUUAUGUAAAAUCUUGUACCCAGCAAUUGUAAAGUUCCUCAUGAACAAGGACUAACAAAUCAUGACUAUCCAUCUCAACAUACACUUGUAAUAAAGAAUGGUAACCGCUGAAGUGCACCCAA